rnacentral:rRNA from 1 species
UGAGGAAUAUUGGUCAAUGGGCGGAAGGCUGAACCAGCCAAGUCGCGUGAGGGAAUAAGGCCCUACGGGUCGUAAACCUCUUUUGUCGGGGAGCAAUGGGUGACUUGCGAGUCAUCAGGGAGAGUACCCGAAGAAAAAGCAUCGGCUAACUCCGUGCCAGCAGCCGCGGUAAUACGGAGGAUGCGAGCGUUAUCCGGAUUUAUUGGGUUUAAAGGGUGCGCAGGCGGUACGGAAAGUCAGCGGUAAAAUUACGGAGCUCAACUCCGCCGAGCCGUUGAAACUUCCGCACUAGAGUGAGCGAGAAGUAAGCGGAAUGCGUGGUGUAGCGGUGAAAUGCAUAGAUAUCACGCAGAACGCCGAUUGCGAAGGCAGCGCACCGGCGCCCGACUGACGCUGAAGCACGAAAGCGUGGGGAUCGAACAGGAUUAGAUACC